rnacentral:lncRNA from 1 species
ACAGGGUGUCAAGAUUCCAUUUCCUGUUGUUCAGGAAAGGCUUGAUCUAGGCACUUCUUGAAUGGAAACAUCACUGCAUUUCCUUGUAUGCCAGGUGACAGCAAGAGAGGAAGAGUCAUCUAAACUCAAUAUUUGCCAACACCCAGCAAUAUAUUGACUUCCCAUGGCAAUGCUGACGUGAGUUAUGUUCAGACUUGUAUGUAGGCUAACAUAAAUUCCUCCCUGCCCAAUUUCAUGUAACUAGUGGGCACUCAUCACAUAUGGCUCCGUUGUGGUGAGGUGGAAUUAUUUACUCCCUCUGCUGUGGAGACUGAAUUGGAGAUGGGAUAUACUUGAUCCACGUGGGAGCACCAGAAUCAGCUCUGCUCAGACUACCUGCCACUGAUAAAUAAUCAUGGCUGCCCCAUUAAGCCCACAUUCAGCCUCAGACUAUUUCUGGACACAAUUCUCCCCAUAGUCUUCAUUAUCUGUCAAAAAUUGUCAUAUAAGAUGAAACCUACUUUUCUACCCUACGCUCUACCCAAUGGACCAUCUGCAAACUCCUGUCUGGUGUCCACUCUGCUCAGAAACCCGCCCUCGGCUGGGGCUGCCUCCUUGCUGUUGCCCUUGGCUGGCUUCCAGAGCUGCCUCUUCUUCCACAGUGCCCCUUCCCUUUAGAAAAUUAUCCCUUUCCUCCAACCCAAUAAAUAUGUAUAGCUCAGAGGUAGAAACCACUUUCUUGUGUUUUUAAAAUUAUUGUAAUCUUCCCAACCUUUUGGAUAUCCUCAAGUGACCCUUGAUUGGGUCAUAAUCUGAAAUUGGGACGCAAUAACCAACAUUUAAUUUCUGUCAGGUCUCCAGUCAUCAGCACGUUGACUUGAACUCCAUCUGGAAUGAUCUAAAAUUAAAUUACCAUUGUCUUUGCCCUUUAAAAAAUAAAAUGUCUGUAUUAUAGCUGCCUGCUACCUACGCUUUGAGCAUGUUAGGCUGAAAAAGUACAUACAGACCAAUAGUCUUUCAAUGAAUUUAAUUUCCUACUUAUUUCCUGAAUGUAAUUCAUUAAAAUGAACAGUUGAAAGAAAAAUGCCUUACACUCGCCUAUAUUUGGAUACCUAACAGUGACUAAGAAAUCCACCUCAAGGAGGAAGACCCUGGAGUCAGUCAAAGCACAGAGGAUUUUUCCAGAAAGAAGCAACAGAAAAUGCAAACUGAUUAAAGCAAAACAAGGCGGGGUUUGUUGAAAGGGCACUGAGUAGCUCACAGACUGGAAGAGCCGCAGCUGCAUGGAGCAGGCUGGUUCCAGGGCCUUGGGGGGCUGGUUCCAGGGCCCAGGCCUGGCAGCCUCUCCCUGGCACCCCCUUGGCUCAGUACGGCUCUGGGCUCCUCUUUCUCCACACAACAGGAAAGAUCCCUGUGUUCCUCGCAUCACAGACCAAAGACAGAAGGACCUUCUCCAUUGGCCUGUCCCAGUUUUAACCAUCCCAGGGAAGGUGUCUGAUUGACCCCGCUUAGCUUUUGGGUCCCUCCAUCAGCUGGAGAUGCUGGCUCAGGGAGUGGGGUAUUCUUAGGGUCCAGGCCUCGAUCCUCUGUCCAGUCCUGGGGUCUGUGAACAGAGAGAGAUGGAGGGAGUAAUGGCAGAGGAGGCAUCCAACACCCACAGCUACCACAUCCAUGCCAUGUCCCUCACACAGAUCGCAGCAUCUAAUUCUGAGCACAGGAUUGAACCGGGGGAAAAGGAAGGACACUGGGUACCGAUGGUUUCGAAGAGAGCCACUGCGAGUGUGGGAGGCCAAGGACACCAAAAGAGAAUUUCAACUGCCCGUGACAG